CCUACGGGCGGCUGCAGUGGGGAAUAUUGGACAAUGGGCGCAAGCCUGAUCCAGCCAUGCCGCGUGAGUGAUGAAGGCCUUCGGGUUGUAAAGCUCUUUCGCCGGGGACGAUAAUGACGGUACCCGGAGAAGAAGCCCCGGCUAACUUCGUGCCAGCAGCCGCGGUAAUACGAAGGGGGCUAGCGUUGUUCGGAAUUACUGGGCGUAAAGCGCACGUAGGCGGAUUGUUAAGUGAGGGGUGAAAUCCCGGGGCUCAACCCCGGAACUGCCUUUCAUACUGGCAAUCUCGAGUUCGGGAGAGGUAAGUGGAAUUCCGAGUGUAGAGGUGAAAUUCGUAGAUAUUCGGAGGAACACCAGUGGCGAAGGCGGCCUACUGGAUCGGUACUGACGCUGAGGUGCGAAAGCGUGGGGAGCAAACAGGAUUAGAUACCCCAGUAGUCC
rnacentral:rRNA from 1 species